rnacentral:rRNA from 1 species
ACCCUCUGGGUCGUAAACUGCUUUUGUUCUGGGAAGGAAAAAGACUAUAUUUAUUAUAGAACUGACGGUACCAGACGAAUAAGCACCGGCUAACUCCGUGC